GUAUACCCAGGGCAGAGGCACCAUGGACUCUUAUAAAGGCAAUCCAUGGAGGUAAGAGUGUCUCUUGGACUGCUUCCAGAAGAGGGGUGCUGUAUAGUUGGAGUGUCCCUUCACUACUUGGCGCUGGGAAGUUCAAAUUCAAAAAUGAUUCCACAGAAUGAUCUCUAGCUCACGGUACAGGGCAGUCAUCAGACCUGCCCUAUGAGUACAAUUAAGGAAGUCAGAUCACACCCUACAGCCAUUAGUUUUUCCAUUUCCCCGUUGAGUGACCUGCUGGUCUUCACUUGUUUAUUCUUUGAAAGAGUUCUACAAUGCUGAGGGGAAUUGCUAAAAUGAUAUGAAGUUUAUUGAUUUAACUUCCUGUUUAGACUAGUCGUCUCCAAAAUGAUUUGACUGCACAUGAGGAAAACAAAGCUUGAGUAAGGAAUCCUAUGUUGGAGACACGUAGCUCAGAGCCUGUGCAGGGAAGCCUGCUCCCAGUAUCUUCCUAUCAUGUCCAUAAAAUCCCACAUUUCCCUAUCUUUUGAAUAAACUCUGAA